CGUCACGAUCCCGAAUCUCGAUUAUAGUAACGCGAGAAACGACGACGGUUGUGGUUCGUGUUUUUCCAAUGGUGUUUGGUAGUGAUUUUUCCCAUGGAGAGACUGAAUUAAUACUGUUUAAAGGAUUCGAGAAGGACAGCCUUGGAUUCUGGAUUACGAUAGGAGGGUGGACAGAGUGCGGGUAGCUGCGUCCAGCGGUCCGAACCCGAAGAAAUAAGGCUAUAGGAUUCCAGAAGGGCAGCCUUAUAAAGGUAGGAUUUUUCUUUUUCUGUGCAUGGGUUGUGAUAUUUUUUUAUGUAUUUAGAAGAGGGGGGAGUGAAUAGUGAAUACUGUGACUACAAAGAAAAUCAACCAGGUAAUUAUUUUAACCGACCUUCGUAUAGUCAUCUUGGCGAUGUAAGACUGAUUGCAAUGAUUCUCUCGUGGCAUGAUACAGUUUACUCUAAAUCCUCCGGUAUGACUAUGUUUCAUAGCCGUAUUGGGUGCUUUGUUGUAAAUCAGGUUAUGAGGAAGUAUUCCAGUCAAGUUUUUCAUUACCAAGGAUUGUCAUACGAAGAUCAUUUUGAUGUUUUUUAAGGGAAGGUAAGUGAUUAAUCCACCAUAGGCUCAUGUUCGCUUAUUAAUGUAUAAGAUGAGCUUAACAUUGUAAAACCGAGAGGGAUGAAAGACUGAUUAAUAAACGAACAGGGUCGUUAAUUGGUUGUAAUAACAUGAUUACCUACACAACUUUUCGAUUGUUCACAGUGCCGAUGAUUCCGCUGCCCUCGUCCUUCAUCUGCUUGUGAGGAAUCCACUUCUGAUCUCGAUUCUGUUGACCACGAUUCGGGCCAAUGAGUUAUCCCAACUCACCAUGCCUGAACGCCGAGUGCGGGUAGCAGCGUCCUGCGGUCCAAAACGGAAUGAAUAAGGCUAAAGGAUUCCAGAAGGGCAGCCUUAUAAAGGUAGGAUUUUUCCUGUUCUAAGCAUGACUUGUUGCAUUUUUUUUGUGUAUUUAGCAGUGGGGGAAAAGUGAAUAGUGCAUAAAGUGACUAAAAUAAGAAUCAACGAAUAAUUUUAGCCGAUCUUCGUUUUGUAGUUCUAACUGAGUUGUGGUUAACUCUCUGAGCGUUAAUCUUGGUGGCGUAAUAGACUGGCAGCAGUAAUUCUUGGAAUGGUCAUCAGCAGUUCGCUCCAUAUGAAUUGUUAUGGCCAUGAAUUUAUAGCCAUACCAAUUUAGUGAAGUGAACGGUUUUUCUCCGCGAAGAAGUACUGUAGCCAGUCAUUAUGUUUCCAAGGAACAAUGUCUUGGAGUUUGAUCAUACCCCAUUUAGUAUUGCGUGGAGAUCAGGUUUUUGGUUUUUAAAGGUUGGUGAGUAAUCGUUACAAACGUGUACGUUUAUGUAAUGAUUAGUUACUCUUAGAUGAUUGUUCCUGAGUCAUCUCUGAUUAGCUAAUUAAUUAUUGAACAAACACACUUGAUGAGUAUACUUUGGCGGGUGUACUAAUCUCACUGUUUGUUCACAGAUGACCGGAUUCAAGUCUACCCUCGAUCCUGGUGAAGAAUCUCAAGUUUCAAUCGAACUAGUGUUUGGAAUAUCUUAACCCGCUUGCCAGUGGUCCACGAACGUGCUGUACGAGUGCAGUUGGAGAUCCUCUAUCGCCAACUCUCCCCCUCCAUGACGAUUAAGAACGAUGUCAUCUUCACGCAAAUAAAGGUAAUUUUGGCAAUCGCCGUCUGACGGGACAAUUUAAUCCCUCCUGUAUACUGCAAUAAAACGGGGACGCCCUAAUUGCUGGGGAAGCUCUCCGGUGCCGAAAUGGGAGAAUAAAGUCGCUGUAAUACGCACAGAAGUUCACUAUCACCGAAAUCAAGAUAGGACCAGGGUCAAGUUCAAG